GGAAACAGGUGCUAAUACCGUAUAACACUAUUUUCCGCAUGGAAGAAAGUUGAAAGGCGCUUUUGCGUCACUGAUGGAUGGACCCGCGGUGCAUUAGCUAGUUGGUGAGGUAACGGCUCACCAAGGCCACGAUGCAUAGCCGACCUGAGAGGGUGAUCGGCCACACUGGGACUGAGACACGGCCCAGACUCCUACGGGAGGCAGCAGCAGGGAAUCUUCGGCAAUGGACGAAAGUCUGACCGAGCAACGCCGCGUGAGUGAAGAAGGUUUUCGGAUCGUAAAACUCUGUUGUUAGAGAAGAACAAGGAUGAGAGUAGAACGUUCAUCCCUUGACGGUAUCUAACCAGAAAGCCACGGCUAACUACGUGCCAGCAGCCGCGGUAAUACGUAGGUGGCAAGCGUUGUCCGGAUUUAUUGGGCGUAAAGCGAGCGCAGGCGGUUUCUUAAGUCUGAUGUGAAAGCCCCCGGCUCAACCGGGGAGGGUCAUUGGAAACUGGGAGAUUUGAGUGCAGAAGAGGAGAGUGGAAUUCCAUGUGUAGCGGUGAAAUGCGUAGAUAUAUGGAGGAACACCAGUGGCGAAGGCGGCUCUCUGGUCUGUAACUGACGCUGAGGCUCGAAAGCGUGGGGAGCGAACAGGAUUAGAUACCCUGGUAGUGCACGCCGUAAACGAU
rnacentral:rRNA from 1 species